GGCUAGGUAGCUCAAUAGGUAGAGCACCUGGUAUAUAUUCAGGAAUCAGGAGGCCUGGGUUCAGCCCCCAGUCUGGCCA